UGGCUUGAUUGGGAGAAUCUGGUAAUACAGCCACCCUCCCUGCUGCCAAAUUUCCUCGGAGCCACUCUUAUUUAAUGCCCCCCACCCCCGGAGCACGUGUAUAAACGCCCAAUUCGAGAGCCAACAUGGAUGCACUAAGCUGAAAACUCAGAGACGUUGGAAAGGAGCUCUGAAGCACCAGGGCACAUCUGGAGCAUUUCCCCCACGCUGAGGCUGCAGGAAACACCUGUGCAGCGUGUCGUUUCACAAGGUGAUAUACUCGACCAGGGCUGCCGCUUUUUAUAGACUGCUUUACUGGAAAGCAGGCCUAGCGAUCGCUGGCCAGCUGUGCAGCGGGCACGCAUUUUGUAUUAGCGCUGGUUCGGCUGUACGAACUGGAAAUAUGUCCUGCAGGUACCUCUAAAGGGACGAUGCUUAUUCAUGAACAGCCCCAGACUGGGGUGCGGGACAGGCUGGGAGGAGAUUCCCUUCCAGCAGCAAGGUGUUUUAAACUGGUUUAUGUAGAGACUACUUCAGUAUCCCGCCUGGCUCAGUCACCUCUAAGGCCUGAAGCUCAGGUCUGAAAGGAUGUCUUGGUUUAAAAAAUAUGCAUCUUCUGGUCUAGGACAGCUGGCAUAAGUGAUGUAGGACAGCUGGCAGGUGGUAAACUGAGGCUGUUCUGCUCCCACGCUGAAACGUCCAGGGGGUCCUGUUAGCCUCCAAAGGCACCAACCUAUUUAUGCCUGACCCGACCCCCCGGUGUCCCCUGUGACUACUCCUGCCCCUCCAGGGACUCUUGAGACUCCUAACCCAGGUCUGAGAGACAGCUCCAGGCACCUACCAGCCCCACAUGAAGCAGGAAGUGCAAGCAACUCCUCUAAGGGAGACAGGAAAAUUUCCACGAUAAAUGCUGGACAGAAAAUGGGGUCUUUACUUCACUGCUUCUGCUGAAAAUCUGCAGCGUUUCUAUCUAAAAAUGCUGCCAUAAUGCCUCGGGGGAGCUGCGCUCAGGUUUCCAUCCAUUCCCAGUCUCUCUUAUGGGCUUCAUCCUCUCAAGCAGGGGAAGAAGGGAGGAAGCCAUGGGUACUGUGGGAAAUGUAGGCUGACCUGGGAGCCCAGCCUAUCAGCCUGUGGGAACAUAAUGUGCCUGAACUACAACCCCACAUCAGGGUUUCCAAAAUCUUAGAUGAAAAUGGAAAUGUCCAAAUAGCCAAGGAGAACAAAGAAACCCCAAAAGAACAAAAUUUCCCAUGGGGAAAAAACAUAAAAAGUUAUUUUUGACCAGUUCUACUAACUCUACCGCAGCAAAGCGGGCUCCGAAAUGCUCUUGGAGAACAGUUUUUGGACAAGAUUUGGAACGAUAAAAAGCCUUUGCUGUUAGUAAGAAAAAUAUUCCAAUGGCACGUUGCGAAAGUUGAUAGGGAAAUUUCCUACGGCAGACAUCCAAAGCAAACACAAAUCCAUAACUGAGCCUCCCUUAAAAAGGCAGAUACAGGGCUUGUACUCGUCUUAAAAAGCAAUUUGAUAUUUGACUGCUGAAGGUGUUGCAGGGAGUCCUGGCUCUGCUGAAGUUACCACAAAACAACCCAGGAGCGGACUCCAAGCACUGCUGUUACUGAAGCAAGAGCGAGAUCCACAAAUUAAGGGGUGACUAUUAAAGCCAAUCUUGAUGCAGGUAGCUGAGAAUACAUCAGGAAGGAAGAAAAGCACCGUGAAGAAAGACUGCAUCUCAGGUGCUGAAGCCAACUGAGAACAGAAGGAAAGCAGACCAAGGGAUGAUCAAAGCUGGGAAAACAAAUCCAAAAAUAAGUCCGACAACUUAUACUGCCUAUAAGUUCAUCACGGGGGCACAGAAGGGAAUUGGUGAGUAUUUAUUCACCAAGGCGCCCCCGGGGGUUACAAGAAACAAUGGCCAGAAGCUAGCAGAGAGCAGAUUUAGACUGGACAUUAGGAAGAACUUCUUCACAGUUCGAGUGGCCAAGGUCUGGAACGGGCUCCCAAGGGAGGUGGUGCUCUCCCCUACCCUGGGGGUCUUCAAGAGGAGGUUGGAUGAGUAUCUAGCUGGGGUCAUCUAGACCCAGCACUCUUUCCUGCCUAUGCAGGGGGUCAGACUCGAUGAUCUAUUGAGGUCCCUUCUGACCCUAACAUCUAUGAAUCUAUAAGGACUGAGCUCUCGACAGCAGAGAGCAGCAGAAAAGAGAAUAUUAGUUAUUCAUAUUGCCCUGGCACCCAGGAUAAGAUGUCACAUGUAAGAAGCUAAUGCGAGUGUAACGACUGCUCCUGGCUUAUGUGUGCAAAAUGAUUAACCCAGCUGCACAACGUCCCGGUGCAGCCGCUGUCACAAGCAACCUGCAAUUAUCCCCGCAAACCCCGACUCAAAAAAGGAAAGGCAGAGGAGUCCAAUUGUUGCCAACUCUGUGCUGGCCAACACGAACGACUGCUCUUUCUCUUCCCGGCCAAGAAUAGAAAGCUGCCCCUGCUGUGCUUGUUCCCUCCGCUCUUGUGAGCCAGCAGCACACUGGAAGUGAUGGGGGUCUUUGCUCGCAGGGCCAUCGAGAGAGGCGGCUUGCAACGAAUUUAGCAUUCUAGCUGCUCACGGGACUGGGAGUAUGGCUGAAGGGAGAGGCUUAGGAGACAGAGCGUUGCCUGGGUCCGAUUCUCACCGCCGUAUAUUGUCAGCAUGAAACACGAGAAAGUGUGCAUUUAUGUUGUCAGUGUGCCGUACAAGCGUGCCUCAUACCUAGGCAGCAUGAAAUGCGAGAAGGUGUGCAUUGAGCCAUAAGUCAACCUCAGUCUUGGCUCCCCUCCCCACGGUCAUCCCUCGCUGCUCAAGCCGGCUCCAAAAGCUGAGAUGGGAUGGGGAGGAGAGAGAAAGAUAGGCCUGUCGAGCACUUCUCCCUCUUCCACCUUCUCUCUGCCCUCCAAACCCUCCUGCACAGGCUGGAAGAUGGGGACUGUCCAUGCACAAGAGCCAGUUCUCAGAGCUGCGACUCUUCAGGUCUCGCCGCUUCCUGUUCUCUGAUGGAAGGAGGAAAAACAAUGAUCCCGAGCCAAACCUUUGCUAUCUGAGAGGCUGCUGCUGCUUCCUUGUAGGGAUGGGUGAGAAGGGACAGGGACCUCGGGGAGGCUGGAGCAGUAGAUGACACCAGAAGACCAGUGCUGGCCUCAGCAGGGAGAUCAUCUAUUCAACCCAGGCUGUUCUUUGCAGGGCAAGGCAGAGCUAUUUUCUUGCUGGUGCUAAAGACCCCGUGGAGUCAGAGCCAGCCCUUCACGUCAGACAGGAGCUGAACCUGGGGCGAGCCAGGGCUAAGGGCUGGUAGGUAAAUGCCCAGAGGACCAAAGGCCUACAGGCUGUCGCUGCACAGCAGCCUUGCAUGGACACAUCAGAGCCCCCAGACCUAUUUCUUCCUUCCCUCUCCUCGCAGCCAGCAUGGGAGGUGGUGCUACCAGCUUGAGAGGAGGUGGCUCGGAUGGAAAUUUUCAACUGGAACAAAAUCAAAUGUUUUAAAAAUCCACUGGGACGCCAGGGCAGUUCCAACCGGCAGCUUUAUGUACACCAGCAAACGUCCCUGCUCCGUGCUCACCUGAUGGCUGGAAGGAGCCCCAGGCAUCUGGACGGGUGCAGAAUAGCAAAAGGAGGAACCGUUUAAAGGUGACGACAGUGGAAAAGCAGUCAGUCCAGGUCAAGUCCCAGGCAGGGAGAGAGUGCAGCUGAGCAAAGCUGAAGGUAUAUUUUUAACCUGAAAUCGGGGCACCGAAGGCGGCAGGACCUGGAAGUGCUUACCGCUGUCUGAGCGCCCCUGCUGGGUUUUGUGGUUUUACAGCCCUGCUCCCACGCUGUAAGAAGUGCAAGGAUUUCUUUCCACUCUGGGUGCAAUGCACCGUCCAGGAAGGGCAGGGUUCCCCUCUCUGCGGGCCUGCCUGGCGAAUGGAGACCUCCUGGGCCACAGGCUUUGGAGAAGAGAAAGCGGGGAGACCCUUUCCCACUGCUCAGACUCGGACCCUUUCCCCAGGCAGGCACAAUGCCUGCAACAGGGCUUCACAGGUUUCUCUGCAGGCCCAGACAUGCUUCAGGGCAGGGCACCGUGAGAGCGCCCUGCUUUGGAGAGAAGCCCGAAACCCUCCCUGAGGCUGGGAAGGCAAAGGAGAGACAGUUUAAACCCUUGUUUACACGGCUUGCUAACAGGCAACAACAGGAACUGCCGGCUUAGAGAGGAGACGCCUGCUUUUUACUGGGGGGUGUCCCUGUGCAAGAUUUACCCCGGGCUGUGAGCACUUCUCAUCUCCCUGGGAGUCUUCAACCUCUGGCAGAGCCUUUCCAGGGAGGAGAUGCAGCAGAGAUGCAGCGCAGAGCUGGUAGGGGAGCACGAAGUCCCAGCCGCCGGUCCGACUCCAACCCGCCCGUGGCAGCGAAGUGAGGAUUAAUGACUCGUGGCAGCACCCUCCUCCGCGAAGCUCCUGCAGAGAGCUCCAACAGGCCUCCAUCCUGGGGAUGGCUCAGUGUUUACAGGGCUUUUUCCAAUACUCCGACCCGGACGAUCUGCCGGAGAGGUGCCGUAAUCAGGGAACCAGAGCAUUCGACUCUCAUUGCUUCGGUGACUCUGGAGCCGAGGAUGGGGGGGAGCAGGCCAAGGAUGGGAAACAAAGAUGCUAUGAAGAUUAAAGAUUUAUAAACCCAAGCCGCUCGCGGUGAUGUAACUGCCAACCUGUUCCACUGGUGGAUGCAGAAAUCCUGGUGCUCCGAGCUAACGAGAGCAGGGCUUCGCCCUGGAUCAUCCAGCAACAAGUUUGCUUCUGAAUCCCAGAGGCAAGAUUAUGAAAGAGAAGGGGAGCAGUGCAGCAGGACGUGAAUGCCCCAAUACAGAAAGCGCAAGCAUCAGUCCACACAUGCUUUCAGGAAGAGCAAAACCAUGGAUAUUCCUGGCUGCAAAAUUCUGUAAAGUAACGUACCUUCUGUAAAGGACUGUUAAGCAGAUAUACUUUUGCCUUUGGUUUCAGCUGGCUUAUCACGAAAGCCAGAGAUUUAGCCAAAUUCAAGCUAGAUCCUAACCUAGUUGUGCUUAGUGAGCUGGAGGAAAGAUGGUCCGGUGACUCGGGUGCUUGUCUAGGACUUACAUGAGCUGGGUUCAAUCGCAGAAUCACAGAAAAAUCAGGCUGGAAGGGACUGCACAAGGUCAUCCAGUCCAGCCCUCUGCUCAAGGCAGGACUGUCCCCGUCUGAACCGCUUCGUCCAAGCGUUUGUCCAACCUGCUCUUAAAAACCUCCAAGCACGCAGCUUCCACAACCUCUCUAGUUGCAUAACAAGAGUCUAUCACCGUCAUCUGCAGUCCCGAUUCAAGGGUGAUCUCUACCAUGGCUCACUGAUGGGUCCUGGGAUGACUUAAGAGCUCCGUCCUUGAGCAACAGAUCCGUGCACAGAAGUUGCAGGCCUUUCUGCAACAGAGAGCAGGCUGCAGGCUGAGAUUCCUCUCCUCUUCCUUCCUCUGCUCUCUCUUCUCUGUUUUGAUGGCAAAGUGCUUUACCUCGAAAUCGGCUACCGCUUGGUUGAGGUUGCAGCGCCAUUGGAGUCCAAUGGCAACCAGCACCUCCUGUUUCCUUGAGGGCUGCCUGCGAUGCGUCCUUGUAGUGUUUCCUCCAGCUACCAAGAGAUCCCAGGCCUUAGCUAAGCUGGGAGUAGAGCGCUUGUUUUGGGAGUUGAGAGUCAGGCAUGUGCACACAGCGUCCGGUCCAGCGAAGCCGGUGCUUGAGGAUCAUCAACUCCAUGCUGGUAACGCUGGCUUCAGCAAGGAUGCUGCGUCUGCGCGGCAAUCCUCCUCUUCGACGUGGAGGAUUUCCUGGAGGCAGCGCUGGUGAUAUCUCUGCAGGGUCCUGAGAUGAUGAUGGUAGGUCACCCAGGCUUCACCUCUAAGUCACCCGCAGAAGAGCAUGGGGAUGACGACUGCAUUGUACACCUGGAUCUCGGUGUCUUUCCAAAGAUUGGGAUGAAUAACGACAUGCUAAAGAAAUUUCCCAAAGGAGCCUAUCACUAUGCUCUUCAAGUAUUUGAAGACUUAUCAAAUCCUCCCCUCCAUCUUCUUGUCUCCAGACUAAACAAUCCCAAUUCUUCCAACCUUUCCUCAUGAGUCAUGAUUUCUACAACAGACUUCCUCAGCGAUAUGGGGGAAGUCUCGUAACACCCCUGUGAUUCAGCCCCUGACCUGUAAAAGGGAUGAACUGAACUUCUCCACAUCCAGCAGUGUCAGAAGGAUAAAGGCAUCAAAAGACUACGAGGCACUAAGCAGUUAUGGGAAUCGAUGACUUACACCUACUUAACAUUAGGAAAAACAUCUAAUUUAAAAUCCAGUGGGUUUUUUUUCAGAGACUGAGUUGCUUUAAGUACAUCCAGAGAAGAUUCAGAAGCAGUUGCAUCUGCUGACCCCCCUGGCACCCUAGUUGUUGUUCUCCCAAAAACAGCCCCUGUCCGGAGAAAAUCCCAACAAUUCAAAAGUUGCAUGUAGUCAUGGCCAUUGCCCCCCUCCUUUCUGCCUCUCCCUCCCAGAUGGGGAAACCACCUUAUAACCAAACCCCCCUAGAUGUAUAAAAUUACACUCAAAAAGCAAAAAAGGGCCUGGGGGGAGCUAAAACAACUUUGUCCUUGUGCACGGUUGGACUAAACCUUGAGCACUCACAGGAAUAGUCAAACAGAGCAGAGAAAAAGGCCUGGAGAAGUCAAAGACUGAGCCGCGCCAGAAUGAGGGCUUCAUGGAAACCCAACAGUGGCUCCAUCAGAGAAGCAGAUCAGUGUUUGAUUCCCUCUCCACCUGGACUUGGUGUAAGAGUGUGUGCAAAACUGGAUGAGGAGGAAUACAAAAGCUUUCUUUUCUCUAUACUAGCCUUUUCCCCCCGAUUGUGGGUGCUGCAGAAGCUUCGCUGGUGGGAACGCCAGCAGAGAAAAGCCUUUGGCGUUUUGACCAUUGCAUCAUUUAGAUUUGCUCCAAGUAGGGCGACGUGAUGUAUUAAAAUACUAACAAGCAGUCAGCAUGAAUGUAUUUAAGCCUUGAGCAUCAGGAGUGACAAAACCAAUAGAAAAUUAUUGGGGGUGGGAGAUUAGCGUGCAGGCACGACUUAAGUGGGCAGCUUGGCAGAAACCCUAUUUCAAGGGAAUAAGCUAGCAAGGCCCUAACGAAGCGAUUCUCGAUCAGGCCGCCGCAGCGCCCCGGGAUCCUUUCAAGGGUGUCCUGCAGUAGCACACAACGUUAGCAGUACUAUGUGUACAGAUGUGAUUUGCAAGAGAGUUUGAAGGGGACUUUGUAGUGUCAAAAAUACUCUGCCCUGUUGUGGUCUCUCCAAGCCCUUUGCUACAGGAGAAUUGCUCUAGUAUUUUUCUAUGCCAAAAACACAAGUGCAAACUAAAAGCCGGCAUUCUCCAAGGGGUGCCUCAAGGCUAUCAAAGAGUGCCUUGAGCCUAAAAAUGUUGAGACCUCGCUGCCCUAACAAAAGCUGUUCUCUUAGGAUGACAAGGUUCUUUGGGUUAAUCUGAGAUUUUAUUAGACCAACUUAAAUAGUUGGAAAUUUUUUUUUUUUAGCAAGCUUUCGGGUUUAAAAACCCGAUCACAUUCAACAUCCAGGCAAAUAAGUUUUCUUUGGUCCUUUAAACACCAUCAGACGUUUUGGAGACAAAUGUAUUAUCCUAGACCGUUCGCAAUGGCAGCACAAAUUUGUCUGUGUCCCGCUGUUGCAAAAAUUGCCAUGUAUUUAUGCCAUUUGUAUAGCACUGAUCGCAGAUGCACAAGGAGCAACAGGGCAGCCUUCAGCUGCAGCCCGUGCUUGGCUCUCUCUGCUGGGCAGGCCGACUGUGGUGUUGACUGAGGUCUGUGUUGUGUUUGAGAGGGGUUUUGGUAAAUGAUCUGUUCAGGAGGAAUUAGGCUGAGACCCAACUGAUCUCACAUAGACCACUGAAUAGUUAGCAGAUGAUGACAGCUUUUGGCUACAACCAACUCAGGGCAAAUCCGAACCAGAGACAUGAUGUUUUCAUAUCCCUUUGCAAAAUUAAGCCAAGCAGCCUAUUUAAUGUGGAAGCCUCCUAUUUACCUGCGACAAACAACUGGCCCAGAGUCCAUUUUAUAAGCUUCACUCCAGUGUUUAUAUGCAACAAAGUUAGCAGCACAACAGGUUCUGUUAAAAAAAUUAAGUCGAUUUAUUCUUCUUUUGUGGUGCUGAAACAGCUAAUACCCACAUUUGUCAUGUACAAUUCUGGAGGCUGCAGAGAAGGCAGGACCACUUCCACACUGGAAACAGGUCAAUAUUACAAACAGAUGAGAGACAAACACAUAUAUUGUACAAAGCCAUAGCAACCAGUGCAGAAUGAUAAAUCAGACUAACUAAGGUAAAAAAAAGUGCAGAGAGUCAGAAAAAUGAUAUCACUAGGCAGAUCUAUUUGGCUUUAUUCAUCCUACUGGGAGGAAAUAAGAAGUGUUUUAUAAAAGAGCUAGACAAAUCUCAUUUGUAUUCAAGGAAGUGGACUUUUACAGAAGAAUUUCCCUGUCUAAAGAGCACUGGAAAACAUGCACGUAAGGGUAGAGGUGCUUGGAAAGAGACAGUACCGUGGAGCCGGAGACUUGCAGACCAGAAGUAUUCGGAUGGAGAGGUCGUGGCUACAGCAGGACCCUAGGAGCCAAGACCUUCUGACACCAGACUGCAUGAAUUUAGUUAGUCAAGUCACUUAAUCACUGCGAGUCCCGAUUUCAAAAGAAAAAUUAAAAUGCCUGCCAGCCUCACAGGAUCAUGGUGACGAAGACUCUGGUGAUGCUUAUCGACCCCCUAGUCGUCAGUGUGGUAGAGGAGAUAUCUUUCAUUAGACCAACUAGACAGUUGCAAAAAGAAAAAAUGUCUUUAUUUGCAAGCUUUCGGGUAGACGCCACUAUCGACCACCAUGGGAUAUUCAGAUGAAUACCUACCUCUUACUCAGAGCUCUUCAUCGGCAUAGCUCAAAAUACUCUGUAGAGGUUAGUACUAUUAUCCACCAACUCAAGCGGAGAAACUGAGGCAUGCCGCAAUUUGUUGAGACCAGGCACUAAACCAGUGGCAAAACUGGGAACAGAAUCUAGGUUUUCUGAGUCUCAGUCCAGGGCUCUGGCCUUCACCUUGGGACUGGGUCCAGGGUACGUUUGGGCAAUCCUUAUUUUAGGGCUGCAUUUCAGACACUUCGAGUACCUGCAGCUUAACAAAGGUGUUCAGCGCCUUUGGGAAGAGAGAAAAAGCACCUCACCAGAGUGAAGCAGUUUCCUUCAUGGUGUUUCAAAUGGCACUCCCACAUCUUCUUACCUCCAACUCCAAGUCAGGAAAAGGCUUGGGGGAAAAGAAUCCAACACCUGGCCAUCCUUACCCAUCGCCACGCACAAGAGGCGAGAGGCACGCACAGCGAAGGGGAAGGAUGCUGUGAGCACAGAGAUCUGCUAAUAACCACUGGGCAGAGGUUCAUGAGGAUGACCUACUGCUAUCAACAUGUGAGCUUCGCUGUCUGGUUGAAGCAAUUCGAUAAAAGAUGCUUUUAAAAAGUUUAAUGAAACCCCAACAUUCAGUGGGACAAAAGCCAGAGAGACCUGACGGUUAGACUCACUCUGCCAUAUAAAAGUAGCUUUCCUCUUGAGCUCACCAGCAAAACCCAUGGUAGUCAUUAAUGCGGGGAGCUUCAUCUCCCUGGCUUAGCUCCAAUCAUCGUUUGCUUGUACAGCUCACGUCUUCUUCAUCCAGGAACCACUGAAUCAGUAGGUGAGCAAACUGUACACAUACCAGGGUGAAAUACUAAUCUUCAACAUUGAAAAUAACUGCAACUUGCCAAUAUCUCAUCCUUCAAACCAUGUGAAGGUAAGAAAAUCACAGAAAGAGAUGGGUGAGCGUGUUAUAAUGCACACAGGGCUCCCUGAGCUGAUGCUAAUACCAUAUUUUCCUGCAAACACUAAACCCCGGGAUAAGAGAUGAACCUAGUUGUGCGCAAUGAAGACAAAAAGAUCUUCCCUUACAGCAAGUGACUGAGUCGCAGCAGAGCCUACCCGCGGAGCCUGCCCACUGUCUGCUCCCUGCAGCUACCUCCUCUUGGGCCCAGCCAAAGCUUAAGCGACACGUUGCUGUUACCGUAUUUUCUUGCUUACAACACACAGCCCAAUUUCCAGCAGCUGGCUUUUCGGGGAAAAAGGUGAAUAUUGCAUUCAGGAAAUACAGUACUUUUGAAGUUAUCUUGACUUUAAAAACCCCCUAAUAUUCACUGUUUCCAGCUUCCAAGAUACCUAAUCCAGUGCAUGCUCUCCCUAGCUGUUUUCAGGUUACAUUUAUGAUGCACAAUCUACUGGCAGGUCUUUCCAAACUCCAACUGAAAGCAAAUGGUAAAAAGUACAACUCGCCUGUCUCAGGCCAAGAAAAAUAAAAACCGUGUAAGCUCA